AUUGAACGCUGGCGGCAGGCUUAACACAUGCAAGUCGAGCGAGCGGCGGACGGGAGAGUAAUGUCUGGGAAACUGCCUGAUGGAGGGGGAUAACUACUGGAAACGGUAGCUAAUACCGCAUACCAUCAGAUGUGCCCAGCUGGGAUUAGCUAGUAGGUGGGGUAAUGGCUCACCUAGGCGACGCUCCCUAGCUGGUCUGAGAGGAGGACCAGCCACACGUGAACUGAGAAACGGUCCAGACGCCUACGGGAGGCAGCAGUGGGGAAUAUUGCACAAGGGGAGCAAGCCUGAUUCAGCCAUGCCGCGGGUGUGAAGAAGGCCGUCGGGUUGGAAAGCACUUUCAGCGGGGAGGCGUUACUCGCAGAAGAAGCACCGGCUAACUCCGUGCCAGCAGCCGCGGUAAUUC
rnacentral:rRNA from 1 species